rnacentral:rRNA from 1 species
UGGGGAAUAUUGGACAAUGGGGGCAACCCUGAUCCAGCAAUGCCGCGUGUGUGAAGAAGGCCUUAGGGUUGUAAAGCACUUUCAGUGGGGAAGAAAGGCCUUAGGUUAAUAGCCUAAGGAGUUGACGUUACCCACAGAAGAAGCACCGGCUAACUCUGUGCCAGCAGCCGCGGUAAUACAGAGGGUGCAAGCGUUAAUCGGAAUUACUGGGCGUAAAGCGCACGCAGGCGGAUAAUUAAGUCGGAUGUGAAAGCCCUGGGCUCAACCUGGGAACUGCAUACGAUACUGGUUGUCUAGAGUAUGGUAGAGGGUAGUGGAAUUUCCGGUGUAGCGGUGAAAUGCGUAGAUAUCGGAAGGAACACCAGUGGCGAAGGCGGCUACCUGGACCAAUACUGACGCUCAGGUGCGAAAGCGUGGGGAGCAAACAGG